rnacentral:rRNA from 1 species
CCAAUAGCGUAUAUUAAAGUUGUUGUGGUUAAAAAGCUCGUAGUUGAACCUUGGGCCUGGCUGGCCGGUCCGCCUCACCGCGUGUACUGGUCCGGCCGGGCCUUUCCCUCUGUGGAACCCCAUGCCCUUCACUGGGUGUGGCGGGGAAACAGGACUUUUACUGUGAAAAAAUUAGAGUGCUCCAGGCCGGCCUAUGCUCGAAUACAUUAGCAUGGAAUAAUAGAAUAGGACGUGUGGUUCUAUUUUGUUGGUUUCUAGGACCGCCGUAAUGAUUAAUAGGGACAGUCGGGGGCAUCAGUAUUCAAUUGUCAGAGGUGAAAUUCUUGGAUUUAUUGAAGACUAACUACUGCGAAAGCAUUUGCCAAGGAUGUUUUCAUUAAUCAGGAACGAAAGUUAGGGGAUCGAAGACGAUCAGAUACCGUCGUAGUCUUAACCAUAAACUAUGCCGACUAGGGAUCGGACGGUGUUAUUUUUUGACCCGUUCGGCACCUUACG